GACGAACGCUGGCGGCGUGCCUAAUACAUGCAAGUCGAGCGCAACUCUUCGGAGUUGAGCGGCGAACGGGUGAGUAACACGUGGGCAACCUGCCCUCAAGCCUGGGAUAACACCGGGAAACCGGUGCUAAUACGGGAUAGACUUUUUUUCUGCAUAGAGGAGAAGAGAAAGGCUUAGGCCACUUGAGGAUGGGCCCGCGGCGCAUUAGCUAGUUGGUGAGGUAGAGGCUCACCAAGGCGACGAUGCGUAGCCGACCUGAGAGGGUGAACGGCCACACUGGGACUGAGACACGGCCCAGACUCCUACGGGAGGCAGCAGUAGGGAAUUUUCCGCAAUGGGGGGAACCCUGACGGAGCAACGCCGCGUGAGUGAAGACGGCCUUCGGGUUGUAAAUCUCUGUUCUUAAGGAAGAAGAAAGUGACGGUACUUAAGGAGAAAGCCCCGGCUAACUACGUGCCAGCAGCCGCGGUAAUACGUAGGGGGCAAGCGUUGUCCGGAAUUAUUGGGCGUAAAGGGCGCGUAGGCGGUGAUAUAAGUCAGAUGUGAAAGGCUGGGGCUCAACCCCAGAGCUGCAACUGAAACUGUAUCGCUGGAGUGCAGGAGAGGGGAGUGGAAUUCCCGGUGUAGCGGUGGAAUGCGUAGAGAUCGGGAGGAACACCAGUGGCGAAGGCGGCUCUCUGGCCUGCAACUGACGCUGAGGCGCGAAAGCGUGGGGAGCGAACAGGAUUAGAUACCCUGGUAGUCCACGCCGUAAACGAUGAGUGCUAGGUGUUGGGGUUUUCGGACCUCAGUGCCGAAGGAAACCCAUUAAGCACUCCGCCUGGGGAGUACGGCCGCAAGGCUGAAACUCAAAGGAAUUGACGGGGGCCCGCACAAGCGGUGGAGCAUGUGGUUUAAUUCGAAGCAACGCGAAGAACCUUACCAGGGCUUGACAUCCCUCUGAAUAUAGUAGAGAUACUAUAGACCUUCGGGACAGAGGAGACAGGUGGUGCAUGGUUGUCGUCAGCUCGUGUCGUGAGAUGUUGGGUUCAGUCCCGCAACGAGCGCAACCCUUAUUCUUAGUUGCCAGCACGUGAAGGUGGGCACUCUAAGGAGACAGCCGGUGAAAGCCGGAGGAAGGUGGGGAUGACGUCAAAUCAUCAUGCCCCUUACGUCCUGGGCUACACACGUGCUACAAUGGCUGGUACAAAGGGAAGCAAAGCCGAGAGGUGGAGCAAAUCCGAGAAAGCCAGUCACAGUUCGGAUCGCAGGCUGCAACUCGCCUGCGUGAAGUAGGAAUCGCUAGUAAUCGUGGAUCAGCAUGCCACGGUGAAUACGUUCCCGGGCCU
rnacentral:rRNA from 1 species